rnacentral:lncRNA from 13 species
AUCCUAGCUGUGCGAUCUGUUAUAAUACAAUAUCAUAAACAUACAACCCUGUUAUGUUACUAGCUACUCACAGAGCGAAUAUAUAGCCACAGCGAUUUCUAUAGCCUCGAGUCAAGACAGGACCGUGUUAUUAUUAUCAUUAUUACCAAGCCCCUCACAGCGUGUGCUGCCUGCUGGUCGCCCUCGGGCACUUUUAACCGAGUUCACCACAUGCACGCCUCACGGAGAGGAUAGGAAUACUAAUCAACUGGUUUCCUACGCGACUUCCAAACAGAGCGCAGAAAACAGCAACAGCUCGCAACUUGGAGAUCCUCCGAUUCAAAUGUGUUCUGGUUGAUUUUAGAUGUGUUAUUUAGUCUUUAUCCAUCACUAUGUUCAUUGUUGGAUUCAUCAGUAUUGUUGACUGUGAAUUUCCUACAUGGAGAUACCGUUUUGUUUAAUAGACAGAGACAGCGGAUUCAUAACGACUAUGUAACAGAGCGGACUUCUGGUGGAUUUCUGGAUUUCUGCUCUCAGGAAUUGGGAAGCCCGAGCUGCUUGCUUGUGUGUGUGUGGGGGUGUGUGGGUGUUUAGGUGACUGUGUGAAUAAUUGUGUGAGGAUUCCGCACGUCCAUCCUCAACAGUUAAUGCUGUCAGAGAGCAGAGAAGUGUGUUAUUGAGACACUUAGCGUGGAAACACACACACAGAACCCCCCCACAAACACACGCACAGUGCUGUCACACACUGUCUGCCGAUGAGCUCUGUCAUGCAGUCGUUUCUCUCUCCAGUGAACAAGGCUAUUCUAGUAGCUCUGUUCAUCUUCGCCAUCCUCCUCAUCCUCUAUGUGAUCCUCUGGUACAUCUGUAGAGACGUGGACUGCGACCACGGUAUCUGAUCUGAUUAACACCAGGAACACCACCGAAUAACCUAACCGUGGAUAGAGACCCGUCUGAAAGAGGGUCACCCUGGAAUGUUCUGUUACCUUCUCCAGUUUGAGCGGAGAGGUAGCGGCUAGAAUACCAGAUGAGCGCACGAGGACAGGCAAUGACACUGCGCGGGAACCGGCGCUGUCCCAGUGGGCAAGUUUGGGCUGUGGCGAUACCAUCGCUGUGUGUGUGUGUGUGUGUGUGUGUGUGUGUGUGUGUGUGUGUGUGUGUGUGUGUGCGUGUGUGCGUGUGCAUGCGUGGGUUGAGCAUAUGAGCUGCAUAGUCCUAUACGAUCUGACAUUGGCAUUAACAUCGAACAUUGUUACAUUUAGCAGACGCUCUUAUUCAGAGCAACGUUCACAAAGUCGGCUCGGUGUUUAGAACCAGUGACCUUUCGGUUACUGUCUCAACGCUUUUAACUACUAGGCUACCUGCCGCCUAACACGGUCAAACAAGAAGAUACAAAAACAAUAUUGUUCUUCACCCUAUUGAAUCCAAUUUCUUACCGGAGCUUUUCUUGUGUCAUGCAUUAAUCAUUUGAUGAUUGU